rnacentral:miRNA from 1 species
UGCUGAUGUACAUAUUAGAUUGGUGCAAAAGUAAUUGGGGUUUUUGUCAUUAAAAAGUCAUGGCAAAAACGGUGAUUACUUUUGUACCAACCUAAUACAUUA